AGAAUCAACGCUGGCGGCGUGCCUCAGACAUGCAAGUCGAACGCGAAAGUCCCCUUCGGGGGAUGAUUAGAGUGGCGCACGGGUGAGUAACACGUAGGUAAUCUACCUUCGAGUGGGGAAUAACUCAGGGAAACUUGAGCUAAUACCGCAUAAUGCAGCGGCACCACAUGGUGACAGUUGUUAAAGCAUUUAUGCGCUUGAAGAGGAGCCUGCGGCAGAUUAGCUAGUUGGUAAGGUAAUGGCUUACCAAGGCUUCGAUCUGUA
rnacentral:rRNA from 1 species